GGACGAUUAGCUCAGCUGGUUAGAGCGCGCCGUUCACAUCGGCGAGGUCUGAGGUUCGAGUCCUCAAUCGUCCACCA
rnacentral:tRNA from 1 species